UACGGAGGAUGCAAGCGUUAUCCGGAAUGAUUGGGCGUAAAGGGUCCGCAGGUGGCAGUGUAAGUCUGCUGUCAAAGAAUGAGGCUUAACCUCAUCAAGGCAGUGGAAACUACACAGCUAGAGUACGGUCGGGGUAGAAGGAAUUCCUGGUGUAGCGGUGAAAUGCGUAGAGAUCAGGAAGAACACCAGAGGCGAAGGCGGCGACCUGGACAGUUACUGACACUCAACUACGAAAGCGUGGGGAGCAAACAGG
rnacentral:rRNA from 1 species